AUAAUAGGCAUGCUGAGACAAAAAAAAAUAUGGCUCAAAUGAAAGUACAGGUAAAUGUUCCAAAAACAGAACUAGGCAAUGAAGAUAUAGCCAACCUAUCAGAUGCAGAGUUCAAAACACUAGUAAUCAGGAUGCUCACAGGAAUGGCUGAGUAUAGUCACAAAAUGGAGAAAAAAAUGUAGGCUAUACACAG